GUCUAAAAUGACUCUCGGCAACGGAUAUCUCGGCUCUUGCAUCGAUGAAGAACGUAGCGAAAUGCGAUACUUGGUGUGAAUUGCAGAAUCCCGUGAACCAUCGAGUCUUUGAACGCAAGUUGCGCCUGAAGCCAUUAGGCUAAGGGCAUGCCUGCCUGGGUGUCACUAA
rnacentral:rRNA from 1 species